rnacentral:rRNA from 1 species
UACGGGGGGGGCAAGCGUUGUUCGGAAUUACUGGGCGUAAAGGGCUCGUAGGUGGCCAACUAAGUCGGACGUGAAAUCCCUCGGCUUAACCGGGGAACUGCGUCCGAUACUGGUUGGCUUGAGUUUGGGAGAGGGAUGCGGAAUUCCAGGUGUAGCGGUGAAAUGCGUAGAUAUCUGGAGGAACACCGGUGGCGAAGGCGGCCCACUGGCUCGAUACUGACGCUGAGGUGCGAAAGCGUGGGGAGCAAACAGG